AACGAACGCUGGCGGCAUGCCCAACACAUGCAAGUCGAACGCCCUCUUCGGAGGGAGCGGCGCACGGGUGAGUAACGCGUGGGAACCUGCCCAGAGGUCUGGGACAACCGCGGGAAACUGCGGCUGAUACCGGAUGAUUCCUGAGGGACAAAGAUUUAUCGCCUUUGGAGGGGCCCGCGUCGGAUUAGGUAGUUGGUGGGGUAACGGCUCACCAAGCCUAUGAUCCGUAACUGGUCUGAGAGGAUGACCAGUCACACUGGGACUGAGACACGGCCCAGACUCCUACGGGAGGCAGCAGUGGGGAGUAUUGGACAAUGGGGGCAACCCUGAUCCAGCAAUGCCGCGUGGGUGAUGAAGGCCUUCGGUUGUAAAGCCCUUCGGCGGGACGGAUGAUGACGGUACCCGCAGAAGAAGCCCCGGCUAACUCGUGCCAGCAGCCGCGGUAAU
rnacentral:rRNA from 1 species